rnacentral:rRNA from 1 species
AACGAACGCUGGCGGCAUGCCUAACACAUGCAAGUCGAACGAGACCUUCGGGUCUAGUGGCGCACGGGUGCGUAACGCGUGGGAACCUGCCCUUAGGUUCGGAAUAACUCCCCGAAAGGGGUGCUAAUACCGGAUAAUGUCUUCGGACCAAAGAUUUAUCGCCUUUGGAUGGGCCCGCGUUGGAUUAGCUAGUUGGUAGGGUAAAAGCCUACCAAGGCGACGAUCCAUAGCUGGUCUGAGAGGAUGAUCAGCCACACUGGGACUGAGACACGGCCCAGGCUCCUACGGGAGGCAGCAGUGGGGAAUAUUGGGCAAUGGGCGAAAGCCUGAUCCAGCCAUGCCGCGUGAGUGAUGAAGGCCUUAGGGUUGUAAAGCUCUUUUACCCGGGAUGAUAAUGACAGUACCGGGAGAAUAAGCUCCGGCUAACUCCGUG